UACGUAGGGAGCAAGCGUUGUCCGGAAUCAUUGGGCGUAAAGAGCUCGUAGGCGGCUUGGUAAGUCGGGAUGUGAAACCUCCAGGCUCAACCUGGAGUCGCCAUCCGAUACUGCCAUAGCUAGAGUCCGGUAGGGGCCCACGGAACUCCUGGUGUGAGCGGUGAAAUGCGCAGAUAUACAGGAAGAACACCGGUGGCGAAGGCGGUGGGCUGGGCCGGCACUGACGCUGAGGAGCGAAAGCGUGGGGAGCGAACAGG
rnacentral:rRNA from 1 species